rnacentral:rRNA from 1 species
UGAGUAACACGUGGACAAUCGUGACCCCCCGGCCCGGGAUAGCCCAGGGAACCUGGAUUAAUACCGGAUGAGGCGGACCGCGAUGGCGGGAUCCGGAAAGGCGCUGCGGCGCCGCCGGGGGAUGAGUCUGCGUCCCAUUAGCUAGACGGCGGGUAACGGCCCACCGUGGCGACGAUGGGUAGCCGGCCUGAGAGGGUGGACGGCCACAUUGGAACUGAGACACGGUCCAGACUCCUACGGGAGGCAGCAGCUAAGAAUCUUCCGCAAUGGGCGAAAGCCUGACGGAGCGAACCGCCGCGUGAACGAAGAAGGCCGUGAGGUUGUAAAGUUCUUUUCGGGAGGGGGAACAACCGUGGCAGGGAAUGGCCGCGGGAUGACGUGAAUCCCGGAAUAAGCCCCGGCUAACUACGUGCCAGCCGCAGC